rnacentral:rRNA from 1 species
UACAUAGGUCCCGAGCGUUGUUCGGAUUCAUUGGGCGUAAAGGGUGCGUAGGCGGUCUUCUAAGUUUGAUGUGAAAUCCCGGGGCUCAACCCUGGAAUUGCAUUGAAUACUGGAGGACUAGAGUACUGGAGAGGAAACUGGAAUUUACGGUGUAGCAGUGAAAUGCGUAGAGAUCGUAAGGAAGACCAGUGGCGAAGGCGAGUUUCUGGACAGUAACUGACGCUGAGGCACGAAGGCCAGGGGAGCAAACGGG